GGAGGGGUGUCCGAGCGGUUUAAGGAGGCGGUCUUGAAAACCGUUGAGCCCUUACGGGUUCCGUGGGUUCGAAUCCCACCUCCUCCGCCA
rnacentral:tRNA from 2 species